rnacentral:rRNA from 1 species
UACGAAGGGGGCUAGCGUUGCUCGGAAUCACUGGGCGUAAAGGGCGCGUAGGCGGCCGAUCAAGUCAGGGGUGAAAGCCUGUGGCUCAACCACAGAAUGGCCUUUGAUACUGUUCGGCUCGAGACCGGAAGAGGUUGGUGGAACUGCGAGUGUAGAGGUGAAAUUCGUAGAUAUUCGCAAGAACACCAGUGGCGAAGGCGGCCAACUGGUCCGGUUCUGACGCUGAGGCGCGAAAGCGUGGGGAGCGAACAGG